AUUGAACGCUGGCGGCAGGCCUAACACAUGCGAGUCGAACGGUAACAGGAAGCAGCUUGCUGCUUUGCUGACGAGUGGCGGACGGGUGAGUAAUGUCUGGGAAACUGCCUGAUGGAGGGGGAUAACUACUGGAAACGGUAGCUAAUACCGCAUAACGUCGCAAGACCAAAGAGGGGGACCUUCGGGCCUCUUGCCAUCGGAUGUGCCCAGAUGGGAUUAGCUAGUAGGUGGGGUAACGGCUCACCUAGGCGACGAUCCCUAGCUGGUCUGAGAGGAUGACCAGCCACACUGGAACUGAGACACGGUCCAGACUCCUACGGGAGGCAGCAGUGGGGAAUAUUGCACAAUGGGCGCAAGCCUGAUGCAGCCAUGCCGCGUGUAUGAAGAAGGCCUUCGGGUUGUAAAGUACUUUCAGCGGGGAGGAAGGGAGUAAAGUUAAUACCUUUGCUCAUUGACGUUACCCGCAGAAGAAGCACCGGCUAACUCCGUG
rnacentral:rRNA from 1 species